CUACCAAGCAAUGUACCCACAUAAAUUCCUCCCCAACAGGGAAAUCUUCCAAUAGCAAGCAAGGUUAGACGGAGUGUAUAAUACACUCCCAAACUGAUAAUUGUAUUACCUUGCCGGAAUACAUAGCACUGCAAUCUAACACAUAUAUGUUCACACUCAUCUGUAACUACUGAACGACUUAAAAAACGCAAAGCCUAUCACAAACAUGUUUAUUUUAUACGAAAUUGUGCAGCAUUUACUCAUGCCAUAUCACUGUCCACUUCGAGUUGCAAAUAUCUGCUACUGUGGCAUACCUGCAUGUAUGUACCUCUUAUGCACAUCAAAAAUAAAGAAUUACAAAAAAACAAAACUUAAUCAAAAACUUGAAUUUGCGCUAUAUGUCUGUUCAGGCGUAAGUCGCCUCUUUCAUAUUAUGUGCACCCACACUUAUUAUAUAUCAUUUUAUUCAGGGGACGCAGGGUUUUCAUUUAACA